rnacentral:rRNA from 1 species
ACUCCUACGGGAGGCAGCAGUGGGGAAUAUUGGACAAUGGGCGAAAGCCUGAUCCAGCAAUUCCGCGUGAAGGAUGACGCAUUACGGUGUGUAAACUUCUUUUUUGGUGAAAGACGAAUGACGGUACACCAAGAAUAAGGAUCGGCUAACUCCGUGCCAGCAGCCGCGGUAAU